AACGAACGCUGGCGGCAUGCCUAACACAUGCAAGUCGAACGAGACCUUCGGGUCUAGUGGCGCACGGGUGCGUAACGCGUGGGAACCUGCCCUUAGGUUCGGAAUAACUCCCCGUAAGGGGUGCUAAUACCGGAUAAUGUCUUCGGACCAAAGAUUUAUCGCCUUUGGAUGGGCCCGCGUUGGAUUAGCUAGUUGGUAGGGUAAAAGCCUGCCAAGGCGUCGAUCCAUAGCUGGUCUGAGAGGAUGAUCAGCCACACUGGGACUGAGACACGGCCCAGACUCCUACGGGGGGCAGCAGUGGAGAAUAUUGGACAAUGGGCGAAAGCCUGAUCCAGCAAUGCCGCGUGAGUGAUGAAGGCCUUAGGGUUGUAAAGCUCUUUUACCCGGGAUGAUAAUGACAGUACCGGGAGAAGAAGCUCCGGCUAACUCCGUG
rnacentral:rRNA from 1 species